UACGGGAGGUGCAAGCGUUGUUCGGAGUGACUGGGCGUAAAGCGCACGUAGGUGGGCUUGUAAGUCGGAUGUGAAAUCCCUCGGCUCAACUGAGGAAGUGCAUCCGAAACUGGCAGGCUUGAGUACUAAAGAGGGUCGCGGAAUUCCCGGUGUAGAGGUGAAAUUCGUAGAUAUUCGGAAGAACACCAGUGGCGAAGGCGACUUACUGGACACGUAUUGACGCUGAGGUGCGAAAGCGUGGGGAGCAAACAGG
rnacentral:rRNA from 1 species